AAGAUACUAGUAAAAUAGCUAUUACACUGCUUUGUCAAGGCAGAGUCGUGGGUUAAAACCCCGCGUAUCUUG
rnacentral:tRNA from 1 species